rnacentral:lncRNA from 10 species
GUUUCACCAUGUUGGCCAGGAUGGUCUCCAUCUCUUGACUUCGUGAUCCGCCCGCCUCGGCCUCCCAGUGUGCUGGGAUUAUAGGCCUGAGCCGCUGCACCCAGCUUUUUUUUAAAAAAAAUAGAGGCCGGGCGUGGUGGCGGGCGCCUGUAGUCCCAGGUACUCGGAGAGGCUGAGGCAGGAGAAUGGCAUGAACCCAGGAGGCGGAGCUUGCAGUGAGCCGAGAUCGCACCACUACACUCCUGCCUCGGCGACAUAGUGAGACUCUGUCUCAAAAAAAAAACAAACAAACAAAAAAAAGAGAUGGAGUCUCACUAUGUUCAGACUGGUCUCAAACUCCUGGCCUCAAAUGAUCCUCUUGCCUCAGCCUCCCAAAGUGCUGAGACUACAGGUUCGUGAGCCUGGCCAAAAUCUUAGCUUUUAAAUUUCAAAUCACCCUACGUUUUUAAAAGCAGAGUGUCCCACAGAUUCUAAUCUGAGAUUACUCUCCCACAGUAAUUGUUGACUAAACUACUUCCUGAUUAACAGUGAGACAGAGAAGAAGAGUCCUUGGGCAAUCAAAAACCAUAGUAAAAUCACAGCAGGGUCGACAACCCAUACAGCUCCUUACAAGGGUGGGCUAGGUGGCAGCAGACUGGUGCCAACCGUGUCAGGGCGAGGUGGAAGGCUGCUCUGGGUGAGGUGAUAUGGAGGACCCAGAGCACAGUCCUGAAAGCUUGGCUCCUCACCCCACCCUCCUUGAGAAUGACAAUUAGCCCUAGACAGUCACCAAAAUAUUGCCAAAGCUGGAGAGAUGAAGCCCCUGGUCCCUGUGCCACUUCUCUGACUCUGGAUAAACCAACUGACUAUAUGUCGGUUUUCUGAGUUUGCUUUUUGGGGCGUGGGGGAGGGUGAGGGAGUGGCAGAGGUGUUGUUUGAAGUAUCAUAAAGUUUUCGAAGAAAAAGGAGACUGCAGGCUAAGUUAAAACACUGAAAGAAUAGUAAGUGAUGGUCAAGAGUGAGAAGGGAGCAUGGCUCUGCUGGUAGCGGUAUGCCAAUAUAAUCUCUCAGGAGGAUGCAAGGCACUGGCUACCAAAGGCCUUAAAAAUGCACACACUACUUGAAAUAAAUAUUUCUAGGAAUGAAUCUUAAGGAAAUAACUGCCCCCAGAUAAGACAAAGUCACUCAUUAAGAAAUUUUUUUGCAGCAGUAACCACCCCCGAAAAAUACCCCAGAAACUGAAAAUAAAUGAUCAAAACUAGAAGUUGGUUAAUAACAUGAUAUCUUUUAAAAAUGCAACCAUCAAAAAUGACUCCAUAGAUACAUGCGUUAAGCAAAAGAUCAAUACAGAUAAGUUUUAAAUAGUCAUAAAAUAAAAAUAAAAUUAAAAAUUAGGUUAUAGAACUGAAUGAGGCCAUUUCUGUUUAAAAUAUUUAUUGAUAUAUGCCUAGAAACAGUCGGAAGAAUAUGGGCCAAAACGUUAAUUAGUGGCCAUCUCUUAGUGAUGGAAUUACUGAUUUUUCUUUUUAUUUUCGAGACGGAGUCUCACUCUGUUGCCAGGCUGGAGUGCAGUGGUGCGAUCUCGGCUCACUGCAACCUCCAACUUCCUGGUUCAAGCGAUUCUCCUGCCUCAUUUUCCUGAGUAGCUGGGACUACAUGCACACGCCACCACGCCCAGCUAAUUUUUGUAUUUUUAGUAGAGAGAGUUUCACCAUGUUGGCCAGGAUGGUCUUGAUCUCCUGACCUCAUGAU